ensembl:snRNA U6 U6 spliceosomal RNA
UUGCUUCCGUAGCACAUGUACUAAAACUGGAGUGAUACAGAAAAGAUGAGCCUGGCCUCUGUGCAAGAAUGAUUUGCAAAUUCGUGAACCGUUCCAUACUUUA